CCUACGGGGGGCAGCAGUGAGGAAUAUUGGUCAAUGGGCGGGAGCCUGAACCAGCCAAGUCGCGUGAGGGAAGACGGUCCUACGGAUUGUAAACCUCUUUUGCCGGGGAGCAACGGGGUCCUUGCGAGGGCCCGAUGAGAGUACCCGGAGAAAAAGCAUCGGCUAACUCCGUGCCAGCAGCCGCGGUAAUACGGAGGAUGCGAGCGUUAUCCGGAUUUAUUGGGUUUAUAGGGUGCGUAGGCGGGCUGUUAAGUCAGCGGUCAAAUGUCGGGGCUCAACCCCGGCCUGCCGUUGAAACUGGCGGCCUCGAGUGGGCGAGAAGUAUGCGGAAUGCGUGGUGUAGCGGUGAAAUGCAUAGAUAUCACGAGGAACCCCGAUUGCGAAGGCAGCCUGCCGGGGUGCGACUGACGCUGAGGCUCGAAGGUGCGGGUAUCAAACAGGAUUAGAUACCCCUGUAGUC
rnacentral:rRNA from 1 species